UAUUAGAAGUACCUGUCUGUCUGUCUACCUUUACCUGUUCUGUACGUCUGUUUGUCCGUCCGUGAAUUCGUUCGUUCUACUCUUCGAUAGACUACUCACAGUUUACGCGUUUUCCAACCCUUACCCCCAUACAAUUGUUUCUCCAAGUUUUCGGUAAUAAAAAAACAUUGUUUAUAAUAGUUACGAGAGGAAUAACGAAUAGGAAGUGAAAGAAGAAUAAUAAGAAGAAUAAGAAGAAGUAGAGUUCAACGCGCAUGUGUGUAUGUGCGUUGGUUAAUGUGUGUUUAAAGGGUUUCGAUCGAAGUUACACGGUUUCCCUUCGAGACACUCGACCCUAGUGACUGAAACUCCAUAGGAGAAAGAAAGAACGAGAUAGAAGAAAAACAAGGAAAGAAAAUCAAAGAAGAAAGAAAGAAAGAAAAGGAAAG